rnacentral:tRNA from 1 species
UGGGAUAGCUCAGUCAGUAGAGCAUGAGACUCUUAAUCUCAGGGUCAUGGGUUCAAGCCCCACAAUGGGCAAAA